rnacentral:sRNA from 1 species
UCCCCGGACGCGCGGCCCCCCCACCCGCGGCCCCGCGCGCCUCUCCCUGACACCACCCUCCGCGGCCCCCUCCGGACCCUCUGGCCCCCAAGACGCCCCUCCGGCCCUCCCCUAGGAGAGGGGGCCCUCGCCAAGUCUCCGCCUUCCUGCCCUCCUCCUGUCAAUGCCGCUGUCCAGAGCUCGCAGCCCUGGGAACGCCACUCCAGCGGGGCCUCCUUCUCCUGGGACCCCCUGGGCCCCACCCCCAGGACCUCCCACCUCUGCAAACCCCGAGUUUGCUUUUCCCAUCCACCGGGCAGCUCUUCUCCACGCCCACCUGGCUGGACCCGGGAAACCGAAGAAGUUAGUGGGGGUUCACCAGUAGGAAUCGGUAUGAGGGAGAGCCUGGAGGAGGAAAUGGGGAAAGGGGAAAUGUUCAGAAGGAAUGGAGGACAGCGAGCAGGGUAUUCGGGGAUGGAGGACCAAGUGUGUUUCUUUGGGAAGUGCUGGCAUGUAGGGGUGUGUGCUGUGUACCUGUGUGAAGGAUGUACGCAGAAUGUAGAGUAUGGGGUACGUGAGGGUGGUGUGUACGUAUGUGUCCUGUGGCGGGGAGCGGUGUGCAUUCCGAGAUGUGCGCAGGGUGAACACAGUGUACGUGCAAUGUCCAGGCGUGUGGUGUGCAAGUGUGUGUCUGUGUGUUAUGUGGUGAAUGUGCAGGAAAGGUGUCGCCUUGAGGUGUGGGUAGAGUAUUGUAGGUGCUGGGGGGUUAUGAAUAGGGUAUGCGGGAGAACUGGCUAGAGAUUUCUCUCAGAGGACCAGCCAUGGAGAAGGCCAGGAUGAAGUCUUGGGGAGAACCUCGGGUGAGUUCAGCUCUGAGUCCAUUUCCGUUUUCAGAUCUGGCAGACAAAUCCCUCACACUCAGGUAAAUAAAUUCGGCCUGUGCUCGAGUGCACGAGAAGGGAGAACGUUGUAGUAGCCCAGAUCUGGACUUGGACCACUGGAGGCCUCCCUCUGGCAACCCCGCCCUGGCCUGCAGUCCGGGGUGUGGGUGAUUCAGGCCGCCUGCGCAGCAGCUUCGGAACCGCGGGUUGCCUUGGCUGCGCCUUUAGCUGGGGCUGGGAGAAGCCGGGUCCGAGAGUCGGGAAGAGGGAGAGGUGGAGAGAAUGCGCCUGCGCACGAGUCUUUCCCACAGCAGGUUCAAGUCAGGAAAAGGCCUAGGGACUUUCCUAUUUUUUGCCCUUUAAAGUCAGAGACCCUUCCAAAACUGAGCGCUGUAUUGCCUGGGGAAGCCGCGCCUAUGUGUCCGAGGCAGCUCUGGGGUUCUUGCCCACCCUUCCGGGAAGCCGAUUGCUAGUGGGUGUAUGGAGGCUUUCCAAAGACUCCCGGAGGUUUGCGUGGGUUUCACUUCGGGCCAUAGCUUCAGAAAGAGCGAGCCUGCCUCUCUGUAUUUUUAGCAGGAGGAGCAGAAUUUGAAACAGCAGCAUACCGGUCCUGCGCCUGGUGAAGGAUGACUCGCCAGAAAGCAAAGGCACAGCCCUACCUCCGCGAGCUUGGCGCGUGGCCCAGGAGGCUCCGCGAGCCCUCGUACGUAAGGAUCGCGGCGCCCACGCUUGAGAGCAGAGCUCAGUGCAAACUUCCAACGGUUCUUCCAGUUUCCAGGGAAACGAGAUCUGGAGCUGCUGUGCGUUGCAGAGCUGCCUCUCUGCAACCCACAUGGGACCCCUGUGGCUGGCUGGUCUUGGGGAAGAAGGAGUUGAAGCCACCACAUCCAUGAAGGUUUUGUCUGGAGCCUGUCUGAUCCGAUGCAUUCAGUACUGAAAGCUUUCAGGAACAUUCUUUUACUCACUUCUCAGGACAACCGGUGAGGAACACAGAGAUUUCAGGCGAGCAUCCUGGCGUGUGCUGAGAAGGAGCUCUGCUGCCUGGGAUCUAGGGGAGCGAAAGGAGCUUUCUCUCUGCUUGCAGUGUAAAAUCCCAGGUACAGGGAAUCACCCUGCAGCUUCUGCUCAGCAGUCUUUCUAAAAGGACUGGGAGUUAGCGGAGAGUGGGAGGGGCAAUCUGUGGUCCCGCGACAGCGAAACCGGGGAUGACAUUGAAGCUAACCCAGGUAGGAUUUUAGAGCAGAUUGAAUUGCUUUAUUUCAGGAUCCUUUCACCGAGGAAGAGCUCAUCAUGCUCUGUUGUGAGCCAUCCUCAACUUCCACUUGCAGAGUCUGCUUAACCUUCCAUGCAUGCCAAGGAGGGGACCCAGGGUAGCUGCGGUCUAGUCACGUGACCUGGAGGGUCAGAGGCAGGAAGGAGAGCAACUCCAGAAAGAACCACACCGGUGAGGGAUAACUUUGCCACUUUUCCAGGAAAAUGACAUCAUUAACUACUGUUCAAGUUCCUACAGAGGUCUGGCGGCCUUCUGGGGGCAGGUAUCACUCUCCCACACCAUCACCUUUUAAAUAUUUUAUUAACAUAUGUCUUAGUCUACCUUCUUUUACUGUAACUGAAUAACAUUUACAAAGAACAAUGGUUUAUUUAGCUAACACUUCAGAAGUGCUUGCAACUGUGAAGCCCUUGUGCUGUGUAUAGUAUGGUGUAAGGAAUGACUUGGCAAGACAGAGCAGCCAAAGAGCUUCUUCCACAACAAAACCGCUCAACCAAUUAUAUCCCAAAGGUUCCACCAAACACCAUGAGCAUAUGACUUUGGGGGUCACGUUUCUCGCCUGUGGAUUCUGGGGACAAGCGUUCAUGCAUCACAAGUAGCCAAAUAGUUGAAAUGUUCAUUGUUAAGCCUCACCCCCUCCCGACCCCCCUUUUUUUCCUAGGAACAGCCACGUUAAUCUGUUACUUCACACAGGCAGUGCAGGCAUCCUCUGUGCAAAACACCCAACGGUGAAUCUUCCAAAGAAUUCAUGAAACCGUAGCCGAGUUCUCAGAGACACAACAGUGUUUCUUACUAUGUUCAAAGUCUUAUAGAAUGUAACACAGAAAAUAUUAAAUAUACAAUGUGCUAUCUUCAUGGCAUAGAAACAAGCAUUUAUCUAACUUACGAAAGACAGAAGUGCCCGAGACACGGCCCAGGACCUGUCAGCCAACCAGAGCUUCUUCCUGCACUUGCUUAGGCAUUUGUAGAAGGAAUCUAUCCCAGCCGCUACAGCUGGUCUGGUUUGUUUUCUUUUGUUUGUUCAUUUGUUUUUAUUUUACAGAGAGUCAGAGAGCAUGAUUCUCCCUACCUGGCUUCUUUUGUUCCAUAAAUAAUGUUUGUGGAGCGUGUCCACGAUGCUGCGCACAGCCCUGGCUCACUCAUGGCUGGUAAUGAAACCCUGCAGCUGACCAGUUUCACUGCAGUAAGCAACACAUUGCUUCUUGUUUGGGAAUGGUGUGUCGGGAAUCAUUGAGACACGCAGCUGAGUAACCCUGUCUGAUUAAUACUGUCUUUACUUCUAUUUCCCCCUCUUUGCAUCGAGGUGCAAUUUAUGUACAAUAAGAAUCAUUGAUUUUAACUGUAUGAUUCCACGAGUUUGGACAGCUGCAUACAUUAUACGGACGACCCACUCAUGACUCAAUGCUGGUCCAACUCCUGCAAAUGCUAAGCUCAGCUUUUCCCGACUCCCACCUCGUGCAGUAUACAGGAUUUCCUGUGCAUGGGCAACCUUUUCUGUCUGGCUUCAGUGCCUUUCAGAUUCGUCCAAACUCUCACAUGAAUCGAUUGGUUGUGCUUAUUGCUGAAUAGAAUUCUAGUAAAAAGUGUUUAUCCAUUCACGGCAUGGUGGGCAUUCUGGCUGUCUCUGACGGGGUGACUGACCUGUAUUCAACCGUGGUACCAUGCAGGUUUAAGUCGAUAUGAGCGUGCUUCCAACUCCUUAGGUGUGUGGUAGGAGUGUGAUUGCUGGGCUGCAUCACCACACAUUUACAGUUAUCCUUAAAGAAAACAGAAGAUCAUUAACUAGAAUCAUUUUCCGCCCCCAUCCCCCCGUGCCGUAUGUGUAUACUCCUGGGUUGUGUUUUUAGCAACACAAGGUGUGUCAGCUUCCCUAGCAUGUUGGCCAGCCUGGCGUCCAUAGAUGGAUUCUCAUGGUGGCUUUAAUUUGCAUUGCCUGGUUUUGAAUGCUAUCAACACUUUCACUUAUCUUCAGUAAUGCGCGGGCGCGCGCGCGCGCGCGCACACACACACACACACACACACACACACACACACACACACUUGGUUAGCUUUUUCGAAAAUUACGUGGUCUCUAAGUCUCUAUCAUUUUAUCAACAGUGAAUAGAAGCGUGACUGGAAAUGUGGCGUACGUUGGCCCUGUGGAUUCUCCUGUAAUAGCCCAAGCACAUAUUAUACCUCUUUCAGCUGAUCCCUCGAAAACUCAUCACUACUCAACCUGGUCUCCUCUGGAGUCUAAAUGAAGCACUUAAUGGGAAUCCACCUAAGCCUCCUCUGGCUUCUGUUUAUGACAGUAAAGAGUCCAGGUAAGUCAUGUCAGGGGUAGACAGAGCUGCCAGCUGCCCAUGUCUUAGCGAGAUCAGUGAGCUAUAUCUCCCAAGAGAGAAUUGUCAUUCUGCCUCUCUGCCAUGAGGACACUGCUGGACCACCUCUGCAGGAGCUUGCACUGAUGCUGUGCUAGAAAGAACAAAGACCCUUCUCUGCUUUGGUUUCCUUUAGAAAUGGUUCUGGCUCUGUCUCCCACAUACUCCAGCCUCCCACCACUCCAACUGGGGUGAACUUUCCUUCUACCUGUGGAACACAUCAAAUGGAGUUCUUGUGUUUCCUGUGUUCAUUUUCUCGUCUGAAAUCAUGCUGUUGCUGCUGUCUACCACACUAUGUCCUUGUAUUCCUAGACCUCCAAAACCAGGGCUGGACAGUCCAGGUGGAGCCUUUCUUCCUUAGCAGACGUAAGUAGACACAACCAUCCUGUAGGGCGAACAAGAGCUUGGUGGCUGGACAACCACUUCAGAUUUUCAAAUACACCCUCACAGAGAUGCUCAGGGAUGCUCACUGAAGUUUCAUCUGAGGCAGGGAGUCACAAGAAAGCAGAGAAGGAUGACCCCUGCCAAAACCAUGUUAGAGCAAAGGUGGCAGGGUCUCCCUUCCCUUGAAAUAACUCAAAUGCUGGACAGAGGACAGAAAGCAUGGUUUUCAAAUGCUAAUCAUGAAACAAGGCAAGACUGUGACAGAGAAUCAAAGAAAGCCUCCAGUGCCUCGUGUAACAGCUUAAGAGUUGCCAGCAAUGGUGCCAGCCGAGGAGCCCAGGCAGACUCAAAGAACUUCCCUGGGUUUAAGAGACAUGCUUGUGCUCAAGGGACCAAACUAAAUGUAUACAGGUUUGAUUUUUGUCAAUUAUGCUUCAAUAUAACUAUAAAAACUGGGGUAAAAGCACACUGUAAAAUACUGUCAAUCAGAAGUAACAAAGCUGUAUCUAAUACAUAACUCUAAGUGAGUAAAGAAUCAAUAUUGUCCAACCA